rnacentral:rRNA from 1 species
UACAGAGGUGGCAAGCGUUGUUCGGAAUUACUGGGCGUAAAGGGCGCGUAGGUGGCCUUCUAAGUCAGACGUGAAAUCCCUCAGCUUAACUGGGGAACUGCGUCUGAGACUGGUGAGCUUGAGUGCAGGAGAGGAACGCGGAAUUCCAGGUGUAGCGGUGAAAUGCGUAGAUAUCUGGAGGAACACCGGUGGCGAAGGCGGCGUUCUGGACUGCUACUGACACUGAGGAACGAAAGCCAGGGGAGCAAACGGG